GGAGUUCAAUGUUUUUUUCUCAUCUCAAAAAAUGCCCAACGCGCCUAAAGAAGUUUUCACUUCAAAAAUUGUGCUUAAAAUUUCAAUAGAAUUGGCAGAGGCAAGUGAUUUUAAGAAAGAUUUUUCGCUAUAGCAUCAAUAAAUAGCUUAGCAUGCAUAACAUAGGAUCAAGUACAGUACAGCAGCUUCCAAUAAUAAUAUUAUUCAACAUUCUGCGCGCGAGCCUGGUAUUGAGUGGACGUGUCAAUUUAUUUUAAUAUUCCCGGAUAGACACUUAAAGUAAACUAAACCCUAAUUACCGGUGACUGUAGUCUAAAGUUCGUUGAAGUGCAUAGUGUUGGUAUGUGAUAGCAGUGGAUCGCGGAGGUCGUACCUUUAUACAGGACUUACAGGACUUUUUUGAUGAUGAUGUUACAGACACCUUCUAAGCAAUUAUAAUUAACUAUACUUAAUGAAAACAAUUUAUUUACAAACUUACCUACAUUUAUAACCAAAAACUAAAUCUGUAUUAUGAAUAUUGUACAUUAAUUAAUUUAUUUGUUUGACAUUUAUUAGUGAUCUCAUGUGUAAUAUAAGAAUUGCUUCAUGACUUUCUUAAAUAAGUAGAUAAUUUUGAUAAUAUGUUAUGAGUUAUGAAUAAUAAGAUAUUAUAUGCUGUGCCCUUGCAGGGUCCAUGUGAGACAUUGUAUAUCAUAUUGUAUAACAUCUGUACUGUACCAUGGUUGCAAUAAAGAA